rnacentral:rRNA from 1 species
UACGUAGGGAGCAAGCGUUGUCCGGAAUUAUUGGGCGAUAAGCGCGCGCAGGCGGUCCUUUAAGUCUGAUGUGAAAGCCCCACGGCUCAACCGUGGAGGGUCAUUGGAAACUGGGGGGACUUGAGUACAGAAGAGAAGAGUGGAAUUCCACGUGUAGCGGUGAAAAUGCGUAGAGAUGUGGAGGAACACCAGUGGCGAAGGCGACUCUUUGGUCUGUAACUGACGCUGAGGCGCGAAAGCGUGGGGAGCAAACAGG